CUAUCUAUCGCUUCGUACAUUUUAUGUGCGGAGAGGAAAGUCCGGACAACAGAGAGCAUCCUGUCCUGAUUUAUUUCGGGAUCCCUGACAGCAAACGCCAGGGCAAGAAAGUGCCGCAGAAACAAAACCGCCCCGAUGCAAAUCGGGGUAAGGGUGAAAUCGUGAGGUAAGAGCUCACGCAUCGCAUAAGUAAUUGUGUGGUGAUGGUAAACCUCAGGAGUUGCAAUGCCGAAUAGUGAACGACUGCUCGUCUCACUUCAAUGUGAGGUUUAUUGGUAGGCAGCAUAGAUAAAUGAUAGAUAUAUCCCGAAAAAUGUUCGGGAUGAAACAGAAACCGGCUUAUGCCGA
rnacentral:RNase_P_RNA from 1 species